CUGGGUGCUGUGGGAACACAGUGUGCCUGGGGUUUAGGAAAAGUCUUCCAUAGGAGAGGAUAUUUCACAGGGUCUUGAAGAGAGUGUAGGAGUUUUCAGGCUGGUACAGGCACUGAGGGAGGAAGAGCAUGGGGAAACCCUGUGCAAAGGCUCAGCGUGAUGAGGGGACACGGUGCACUUGGGGAUCAGUGAGAACUGUGGCAGAGCAAGCUCCAUGCAGCUGGGAGCAGAUAGCCACACGAGAUACCUCUGGAAAGCCGGCCACCAUCAAGUGGAGAAAGACCCAGGGCUCCACUGAUUGGCAGCCACCCAGUUUGUGGUGAUUUGUUGCAGCGGCCCUGGGAAACGAAUGCCGUCAUCACCGAGCCAACUUCUCCUUCCAACUGACAAUGCAUGGUUCCUGUUAGCUUCAUUUUACCCAGAGAGGCUGUUUGUUCACUGUUCCAGCUGCCCCUGUGACAUUUGGAAAGUUUAGAGGCCGUGCCUAUGAAGGCAAAAUAAAAUGGAAAUUCGAGGUAA